rnacentral:rRNA from 1 species
UCAGGUGGUUAUUGCGGUGAGGUCCCACCUCUUCCCAUUCCGAACAGAGAAGUUAAGUUCACUUGCGCCGAUGGUACUGCAAUGCAAUGCGGGAGAGUAGGUAGCCGCCUCCU